rnacentral:rRNA from 1 species
UACGUAGGGUGCAAGCGUUAAUCGGAAUUACUGGGCGUAAAGCAUGCGCAGGCGGUUUUGUAAGACUGUCGUGAAAUCCCCGGGCUUAACCUGGGAAUGGCGAUGGUGACUGCAAGGCUAGAGUUUGGCAGAGGGGGGUAGAAUUCCACGUGUAGCAGUGAAAUGCGUAGAGAUGUGGAGGAACACCGAUGGCGAAGGCAGCCCCCUGGGUCAAAACUGACGCUCAUGCACGAAAGCGUGGGGAGCAAACAGG